AUUGAACGCUGGCGGCAUGCCUUACACAUGCAAGUCGAACGGUAACAGGCCUUCGGGUGCUGACGAGUGGCGAACGGGUGAGUAAUGCAUCUGAACGUGCCCAGAGGUGGGGGGUAACGCAGCGAAAGCUGUGCUAAUACCGCACGUGAUCUGAGGAUGAAAGCGGGGGACCAGGCAGCAAUGUUUGGCCUCGCGCCUUUGGAGCGGCCGAUGUCAGAUUAGGUAGUUGGUGGGGUAAAGGCCUACCAAGCCGACGAUCUGUAGCUGGUCUGAGAGGACGACCAGCCACACUGGGACUGAGACACGGCCCAGACUCCUACGGGAGGCAGCAGUGGGGAAUUUUGGACAAUGGGCGCAAGCCUGAUCCAGCAAUGCCGCGUGUGGGAAGAAGGCCUUCGGGUUGUAAAGCGCUUUUGGACGGAACGAAAAGGAUUUAGCUAAUACCUGGGGCUGAUGACGGUACCGUAAGAAUAAGCACCGGCUAACUACGUG
rnacentral:rRNA from 1 species